ensembl:snRNA U6 U6 spliceosomal RNA
GUGCUAAAUUAGGCAGCACAUAUACUAAAAUUGGAAUGAUAUAGAGAAGAUUAGCAUUGCCCCUGGGCAAGGAUGACAGGCAAAUUCGUGGUCAUGGUAUUCCAUAUUUUA